rnacentral:tRNA from 1 species
GCUCCAGUUGCGCAAUUGGUCAGCGCGUGGUACUUCUACAGCAGUGCACAGCAGAGUCAUGCCGAGGGUGUGAGUUCGAACCUCACCUGAAGCA